UACGUAGGUGGCAAGCGUUGUCCGGAUUUACUGGGCGUAAAGGGCGCGUAGGCGGCCUUCUAAGUCGAACGUGAAAUCCCCGGGCUUAACCGGGGAACUGCGUCUGAUACUGGAUGGCUUGAAUCCGGGAGAGGGAUGCGGAAUUCCAGGUGUAGCGGUGAAAUGCGUAGAUAUCUGGAGGAACACCGGUGGCGAAGGCGGCAUCCUGGACCGGCAUUGACGCUGAGGAGCGAAAAGCCAGGGGAGCAAACGGGG
rnacentral:rRNA from 1 species